GUGAAGUCGUAACAAGGUAACCGUAGGGGAACCUGCGGUUGGAUCACCUCCUUACAUUAAAGAAGC
rnacentral:rRNA from 1 species